rnacentral:rRNA from 1 species
UACAGAGGGGGCAAGCGUUGUUCGGAAUUAUUGGGCGUAAAGAGCUCGUAGGCGGCUUGUCACGUCGGGUGUGAAAGCCCGGGGCUUAACCCCGGGUCUGCAUUCGAUACGGGCUAGCUAGAGUGUGGUAGGGGAGAUCGGAAUUCCUGGUGUAGCGGUGAAAUGCGCAGAUAUCAGGAGGAACACCGGUGGCGAAGGCGGAUCUCUGGGCCAUUACUGACGCUGAGGAGCGAAAGCGUGGGGAGCGAACAGG